rnacentral:rRNA from 1 species
AACGAACGCUCGCGGCAGGCUUAACAAAUGCAAGUCGAGCGAGACCUUCGGGUCGAGCGGCGGACGGGUGAGUAAAGCGUGGGAACGUGCCCUUCUCUACGGAAUAGCCCCGGGAAAAUGGGAGUAAUACCGUAUACGCCCUUUGGGGGAAAGAAUAAUCGGAGAAGGAUCGGCCCGCGUUGGAUUAGGUAGUUGGUGGGGUAAUGGCCCACCAAGCCGACGAUCCAUAGCUGGUUUGAGAGGAUGAUCAGCCACACUGGGACUGAGACACGGCCCAGACUCCUACGGGAGGCAGCAGUGGGGAAUCUUAGACAAUGGGGGCAACCCUGAUCUAGCCAUGCCGCGUGAGUGAUGAAGGCCUUCGGGUUGUAAAGCUCUUUCAGCUGGUAAGAUAAUGACGGUACCAGCAGAAGAAGCCCCGGCUAACUCCGUG